AACGAACGCUGGCGGCAUGCCUAACACAUGCAAGUCGAACGAGAUCUUCGGGUCUAGUGGCGCACGGGUGCGUAACGCGUGGGAAUCUGCCCUUUGGUUCGGAAUAACAGUUGGAAACGACUGCUAAUACCGGAUGAUGACGAAAGUCCAAAGAUUUAUCGCCAGAGGAUGAGCCCGCGUAGGAUUAGCUAGUUGGUGUGGGAAAGGCGCACCAACGCGACGAUCCUUAGCUGGUCUGAGAGGAUGAUCAGCCACACUGGGACUGAGACACGGCCCAGACUCCUACGGGAGGCAGCAGUGGGGAAUAUUGGACAAUGGGCGAAAGCCUGAUCCAGCAAUGCCGCGUGAGUGAUGAAGGCCUUAGGGUUGUAAAGCUCUUUUACCCGGGAUGAUAAUGACAGUACCGGGAGAAUAAGCUCCGGCUAACUCCGUGCCAGCCGCCGCGGUAA
rnacentral:rRNA from 1 species